rnacentral:rRNA from 1 species
AACGAACGCUGGCGGCAGGCUUAACACAUGCAAGUCGAACGCACCUGUCGGGGUUAGUGGCAGACGGGUGGGUAACGCGUGGGAAUCUACCCUUCUCUACGGGAUAGCUCCGGGAAACUGGAAUUAAUACCGUAUACGUCCUGACGGAGUAAGAUUUAUCGGGGAAGGAUGAGCCCGCGUUGGAUUCGCUAGUUGGUGGGGUAAAGGCCUACCAAGGCGACGAUCCAUAGCUGGUCUAAGAGGAUGAUCAGCCACAUUGGGAAUGAGACACGGCCCAAACUCCUAGGGAAGGCAGCAGUGGGGAAUAUUGGACGAGGGGGGCAAGCCUGAUCCAGCCAUGCCGCGUGAGUGAUGAAGGCCCUAGGGUUGUAAAGCUCUUUGAGUGGGGACGAUAGUGACGGUACCCACAGAAGAAGCCCCGGCUAACUUCGUG